AGGUCGAUCUGCGGAUCACAUUUUGAGUAUCAAGUCUCCAGUGGGUCAUGAGCUCCCCGUGACCCAGAUCGUGGCUGUGAUUUCUGCAGCCUUGAUGUUCUCCUCCAUGAAGUGGCUUUAUCAUAUCUUGCCCAUGGUUGAAACUGGCACUUGAAAAUUAAUCAGGGAUUUUAGAAAGUGCCCCGUGGACCAUCGGCCUCUGAGUCACGUUGUGUUUUGAAGUUGCUGAUAUGGAUUAAAAUAGUGACAAGAUAAGGUCUCAUAAUGAAACCGAGCGUGCUGCCAGCUGGGAACGGAGUGUGGGGGACUGUUUAGUAAUCAAGCGGCACACCCGACUCCCCACCACGCCCCUUCUGUACUUUCUAACAGUCUCAUCUCAGACCCAGGAGCAAAGCCACUGGAGGAAGCACUUGGUUAUUGCCCAGACUCUGUGGGCUCUGAAGAGAAACAGAACUACCUUUGAACCUAGUAUCUCCGGGUUCUAGACUGGAGAAACUAGGGCAGGUUCCGAUGGUCCAGCGGUCAUCUACCACAUGAAGUAAAAAUGAACUUGAAAUACUGCUCUAGCGUGGGUGCUAAACCAAAGGCCCCUUGCUAAAGGCUCAGGCCCCCAGAGAGUACUCUUGGAAGGAGGUAGGACUUAGGAAGUGGGAUCUCGUGGGGGUCCUCGGGUCACGGGGGGAGGGCCGUUAGAGGGGACUGCAGGGCCCUGGUCUCUUCCUGGCUCCCUCUUUGCUCCCUGGUUGAGGAUGGAAAUGGUUUGCCCCCAGCUGCCCUCUGGCCAUGAUGUACUGGCCUUGCCCAAGGCCCAGAGCAACAGGGCCACCUGAUCUUGGACUGGAACCUACAGAACUGUGAGCCAAAGUAAGAUUUUUUUAGAAAUAUAAAUUGAUAUAAUAUGGUAGAAGCUAUUGUUAAAAAUAAGUUUACAUAUUUUUGGCACCUUUGUCUAGUAUAAGAAAAUUGCAUUUAUUUGGGUUUGUGUCCGUGUCCU